AUUGAACGCUGGCGGCAUGCUUUACACAUGCAAGUCGAACGGCAGCGGCGGGGGCAACCCUGGCGGCGAGUGGCGAACGGGUGAGUAAUGCAUCGGAACGUAUCCUGUAAGUGGGGGAUAACGUAGCGAAAGUUACGCUAAUACCGCAUACGCUCGAGAGAGGAAAGUGGGGGAUCGCAAGACCUCACGUUAUAGGAGCGGCCGAUGUCCGAUUAGCUAGUUGGUGGGGUAAAGGCCUACCAAGGCGACGAUCGGUAGCUGGUCUGAGAGGAUGAUCAGCCACACUGGGACUGAGACACGGCCCAGACUCCUACGGGAGGCAGCAGUGGGGAAUUUUGGACAAUGGGCGAAAGCCUGAUCCAGCCAUGCCGCGUGCGGGAAGAAGGCCUUCGGGUUGUAAACCGCUUUAGUCCGGGAAAAAGGGGUGCGAGGAUAAUACCCUCGUGCUUUGAUGGUACUGGAAGAAUAAGCACCGGCUAACUACGUG
rnacentral:rRNA from 1 species